rnacentral:lncRNA from 1 species
GGGAGAGCGAUGUGCUGAUAACGUGUUACGAGUGGAAUGCCAAAGUACGAGAACAGAGAGGAAUAAAAUGAACUCGGUGUUUCUUUAUUCAUUGAUCACGGGUAUUUAUACAAGUCGGGGGGGAGAGGAAACUCUCGCCCCAAGUAAACUCGAGCCCACGAUGAGUCGUGGGUGAUAUCACGGAGGUGGAACCGGUCUCCACAGUUACGUGCGUAGUCGUGGGUGAUAUCCCGUAGGCGG